GCCUUCGUGGUGUAGUGGUCAGCACGUUGAACGCGUAACCGUGGGGUCCGUGGUUCGAUUCCCGGGGAAGGCG
rnacentral:tRNA from 1 species